rnacentral:tRNA from 1 species
CGCGGGGUAGAGCAGUGGGAAGCUCGUCGCUUUGACUUGGCGAAGGUCGUGCGUUCGAUUCGCACCCCCGCAACUA